CACUAUGCCUAGCCCUAAACAUUGAUGGUUCCUUACAUUAAGCCAUCCGCCAGGGGACUACGAGCAUUAGCUUAAAACCCAAAGGACUUGGCGGUGCUUUAGAUCCACCUAGAGGAGCCUGUUCUGGAACCGAUAACCCCCGUUCAACCUCACCUUUCCUUGUUCAACCCGCCUAUAUACCGCCGUCGUCAGCUUAUCCUGUGAAGGACCCUUAAUAAGCAAAAUUGGUAAAGCCUAGUACGUCAGGUCGAGGUGUAGCGUACGGAAAGGGAAGCAAUGGGCUACAUUACCUACCGUAGGUAAUCACGGACGAUAUAUUGAAAAAUAUAUCUGAAGGAGGAUUUAGUAGUAAGAGAAGAGUAGAGAGCUUCUCUGAAACCGGCUCUGAAGCGCGCACACACCGCCCGUCACUCUCCCCGAGCUCCCAUCAACCUCAUAACUAAUAUUUCCAACUCUGCUGAGGGGAGGCAAGUCGUAA
rnacentral:rRNA from 1 species